UCCAAAGGGCAUACGUAUAUAGACCUUGG
rnacentral:piRNA from 1 species